GGUGGAUUAUGUUAGUCUUCAUUGCUGAGUUGCCUCCCCCAGCCCAGGGAAUUAUUUUUUUUAUAGAUAAUAACCAAUCAUUCCCAAAUGCAUCACUUGAAAGGUCUUUAGGCUGCGUGCCAGGAUUUUGGAGCUAAUAGGGAGCCCCGGGAUGGGGAUGGCUGGGCUCGGUUGCAGCCUGGAGAUAUUUAUGUGUGUGUACACACCGUAUUUCAGACAGCCAAAGCAGCGUGCUCAGACUCAAAUUUACCAUGGAAAGGCUCUAAACCCAUUUUCAAACCGGCAACAUAAUUUAAAAAAAAGGCCUUGCAGUGCCUGAGAUGACUCAAGCAAAAGUCCUCCCUCCCCCUUCCCCCGUGUCACUCACAUCUCACCUUGACUGCAGGUGGUGGGAUGUGAUAGAUGGGGAGGAAGGGACAGCAGGGGAUGGCGGCUGUGACAGCGAGGGGACCGCUGGAAAGCGGGAGGGCGGCAGCCCCGAGGCUCCUGAGGGCUCGGCACAGCCCGGAGCAGCAGCACCGGCUGCCGGGGCCGGGGGCUGUCCCCUGCCGGGGGUGUCCCCUGCCGGGGGCUGUCCCCUGCCGGGGGCUGUCCCCUGCCGGGGGCUGUCCCCUGCCGGGGGUGUCCCCUGCCGGGGGUGUCCCUGCCGGGUGCCAGCUGUGCCGCCUGCCAUCAGCCGGGGCCGCUCGGCGCUCCCGACUUUGAGUCCCGGGCUCCGCUGAGGAGAAAAGCGAUUUAUUUCUGGGCAAACCCGUGAGGCGUCUUGAGGGACUGGUUAUAUCGAAAGCAUCUCCUGGCGCUGCAAAAAGUGGGACAGUCUUCCUUUCCCCGUUAGGUUUUUACUGUGAAUGGAUGGUGAAGACAAAAGCUGUGGAUGCAUUGAUGAUACCACUGUGUUAAUCAUGGUGUUAAAGCAGAAGACUGCAUCUUGCCUGUAUCAGCACAAGUGAUGGGAUUUGAAAGUCUAUCCAGGACCUUUUAUGAACACAGCUGCAGUUUUUGCAAGGAGCCCGUUGCUGUGCUGACUCCAGAGUGCCCAUGUAAGGGUGACAACCCCAAAAGUGCAGUGCCCACACUCCCAGGGCCAAUUCCCUCUGCCUCACAUACCUAUGCAGCGUCAAACCAGAUGGGAUAGAAGAUAAUAAAGCGGUCAACAGACAAUAUAACACAUCUGGCUCCACAUCUGACGUGUCCAGCCCUGAAAACGAUGGUCAAGGUUUGAUAAAAGGUAUAACUCAUCAGUAUGUGCAGAAGCCUCUGCAAAAUCCAGAUGGGAAAAUGACCUUGAUUCCUGCAGUUAAAGAGAAAAUGAGGCUUGGGCCAGAUCAAUUCCCAGGAUUGCACACUGAUUUCAUUGGAGUUGCCCUGAGGUACCCACAGCUUUGACUCUCAGGACUGCAGCCAUUCUGUCUCUCUCUGAAGCCACCACCUGCUGAUGUGUUUGCAGUAGCCUGUCCAGAAGAACAUAUUUCUGAACAGAAAACUGGUUUUACAUAAUUAAUAUAAAGUGGGAUCAAACUGCAGCAGUUGAAGUUAAAUUUCUACACAUAUGUGGACUCCACAGUUUGGGUAUGUCUAGAGCUAGAUUGUUGUGUUCCUUGACCAUUAAAUAUUGUCAAUACUGAGUGUUUCUCUUAUUUUAAAUGCUGCCAAUUUGUACAAGGCCUAUUCAAUCCUACAGAUGGAAUAAAAUUCUGAAACAGUCUAGUGUUUCAAUUUGGAGAUUAAAGAAUACAGAGGUGAGCAUAGAAUUUGGAAGUUGAGUUUGGUUUUACAGGGACAAAUGUGAAAGUGAAAUCCAAAGAUGGUAAUUUGAACUGGACCCUUUUCCAAGGCAAAUUUAGGUCUCUGUGUACCCAUAGGGAGCUUCUCUUGGGAAGUUCUGGUUCCACACCCUGAAUGCACUGUCUGAAUUCAGAUUUAGGUCCUACCUGGCAGCCCAUUGACCUUGUUGGGAGAAUCAUGUGAACUUGCCAGUGAAGGACAAGUCUCACAGUGCCCUAACUGGGACCUUGUGAAAAUUCAUUACAUUCUCAUGUGAAAACUCCUCAUCUGAAGCCCAAAGGAACUAAGCUGGGAUACCAGAGUAUCUGCUUGUGAGAUAACAUUUUCUGCUCCCACAACAGAAGUCAGUUUUUCCUAUUAGUUCUGCUUUCUGUGCUGUCUGAUAGCAGGAAGAACAAAACCCAGUGAAAAUUAAAAAAUGAAGAUAAUGCAAAGUUAAACACACCUCUUUUUGAUCUUCAAAUUGAGUUGAUGUCAAGUAAAGCUUGUUCCCUAUGCACUGUCUUGCUUCUUUGUUUAAUGGUGAAUUGAGUGAAACUAUUUGAUUUGCCAGCUUGUGCAGUAAGUUGGAAAAUAAAAUUAAUAAGUGGCAGUGUCAGAGUCACAGCGUGUAAGUGACCCCCGUGAGGCACAGUCGAAUCAGAAGCUCUUCACCUUUGCAGUGUCCUGUUAUCAUGUGAUCAGAUCACUUCAUCAGCUUUGUGAUCCCCAAAACCCCUGCUCAGGGCUGCUCCUGGCACCACAGCCCAGGCUGGGCACAGCACAGCAGGGG